rnacentral:rRNA from 1 species
ACACUGGGACUGAGACACGGCCCAGACUCCUACGGGAGGCAGCAGUGGGGAAUAUUGGACAAUGGGCGCAAGCCUGAUCCAGCCAUGCCGCGUGUGUGAAGAAGGCCUUAUGGUUGUAAAGCACUUUAAGCGAGGAGGAGGCUACUUUAGAUAAUACCUAGAGAUAGUGGACGUUACUCGCAGAAUAAGCACCGGCUAACUCUGUGCCAGCAGCCGCGGUAAUACAGAGGGUGCAAGCGUUAAUCGGAUUUACUGGGCGUAAAGCGCGCGUAGGCGGCUAAUUAAGUCAAAUGUGAAAUCCCCGAGCUUAACUUGGGAAUUGCAUUCGAUACUGGUUAGCUAGAGUGUGGGAGAGGAUGGUAGAAUUCCAGGUGUAGCGGUGAAAUGCGUAGAGAUCUGGAGGAAUACCGAUGGCGAAGGCAGCCAUCUGGCCUAACACUGACGCUGAGGUGCGAAAGCAUGG